UCUCCGUUGGUGAACCAGCGGAGGGAUCAUUACUGGAAUCGAAAGAUCCCACAACCCUGUGAACCUACCGAAACGUUGCCUCGGCGGGUGCCUGUCCCCCUCGCCAGGCGCUGCGCCCGCCGGCGGCCCCCUACGCUGUCUCUGCAGCGUGCCAUCUCAGAGUCCCAGAAAACAAGUCAAAACUUUCAACAACGGAUCUCUUGGCUCUA
rnacentral:misc_RNA from 1 species